UGUAUGGAUAUGUUAAGAUUAACUCUUCAAACAACGUCAGAUGGUGUCAUGCUAGACAAAGAUCUUUUUAAAAAAUGUGUUCAGAGCAACAUUGUUUUGUUGACACAAGCAUUUAGAAGAAAGUUUGUCAUUCCUGACUUUAUGUCUUUUACCUCACACAUUGAUGAGUUAUAUGAAAGUGCUAAAAAGCAGUCUGGAGGAAAGGUUGCAGAUUAUAUUCCUCAACUGGCCAAAUUCAGUCCCGAUUUGUGGGGUGUGUCUGUUUGUACAGUAGAUGGACAGAGGCAUUCUACUGGAGAUACCAAAGUUCCCUUCUGUCUUCAGUCCUGUGUAAAACCUUUGAAAUAUGCCAUUGCUGUUAAUGAUCUUGGAACUGAAUAUGUGCAUCGAUAUGUUGGAAAAGAGCCGAGUGGACUAAGAUUCAACAAACUAUUUUUGAAUGAAGAUGGUAAGAAUUACAUAAACAUUGGUUGAAAAAAGAAGUGUCUCAUUUUCCUAUGUAAAUCUAAGUCGUUUUAAACAUUUUUGAUUAAAAUUAAAGUAUUUGUCAUGUGA
rnacentral:sRNA from 1 species